CAAGAACAAGAAACGAUAUAGAAUUUGCGAAUAACGGAUGAACCCGAAAUCGCCCAGACAGCGAAAUGCCUUGCCGCGGGUGAAGCAGCGGACGGGAACAAUCACAAGAACCAAGAAACGGACUCCAAAAUAGAGGGUCGAGAACACUAAUAUCGUAAAUUCAUCCCACUUUUUCUCUGCGGACACGGGCAACAGGCGGCACCACAAGAACAAGAAACGAAACAGAUUUCGCGAACGAGGAAGGCACGCGAUACCGCACGGGCGGCGGCCAUACCUUGCCGCAGGUGAAGCAGCGGACGGGGAUGAUCAUCUUCGCCGGCGAUGCCCUUUGCCCGUCUCUCUCCCUCCCUGGGCUCGGCUUGCGACCGGGUGCAAUUCGAGAGCCGAAAGCGGUGCUUCUGCUGCUGCGUGCUUGUCAGGCCCUCUCUCUGACGCCGUUUAAAAACAUCCGAAAAAAAAAACG
rnacentral:lncRNA from 1 species